rnacentral:rRNA from 1 species
GGGUCAGUGGGUUGGUCGUGCCACCGGUACGUACUGGUCUCACUGAUUCCUCCUUCCUGAAGAACCGUAAUGCCAUUAAUUUGGUGUUGCGGGGAAACAGGACUGUUACUUUGAAAAAAUUAGAGUGUAUAAAGCAAGCUAACGCUUGAAUACAUUAGCAUGGAAUAAUGAAAUAGGACGAUCGAUCCUAUUUUGUUGGUUUCUAGGAUUGACGUA